GGAGAGAUGGCUGAGCUGGUCUAAGGCGCAUGACUGGAAAUCAUGUGUUGGCUAACCCCAACCGAGAGUUCGAAUCUCUCUCUCUCCGCCA
rnacentral:tRNA from 1 species